rnacentral:rRNA from 1 species
UACAGAGGUCUCAAGCGUUGUUCGGAUUCAUUGGGCGUAAAGGGUGCGUAGGUGGCGCCGUAAGUCAGGUGCGAAAUUUCGGAGCUUAACUCCGAAACUGCAUUUGAUACUGCGGUGCUUGAGGACUGGAGAGGAGACUGGAAUUUACGGUGUAGCAGUGAAAUGCGUAGAGAUCGUAAGGAAGUCCAGUGGCGAAGGCGGGUCUCUGGACAGUUCCUGACACUGAGGCACGAAGGCCAGGGGAGCAAACGGG